UCAGACCGAGACAAGUGCAAUG
rnacentral:miRNA from 1 species